rnacentral:lncRNA from 1 species
AAUGGGAGAGAGAUGAUGAGCGUUUUUUUUUAUGUAUUUGUGUUUUUGUUUAUUUAGUAAAAUUUUUAAUUUGAAGGUAUGUUUUGUUUAACGAUAAUCCGGUGAAGCUCCGACACCAGUAAAUUUAAUGGUUAUUUUCGGUUGCCAGUAAUUUAUUCGGUAACGGGUUCAAAUUGGUUAUGUAAGUUUUUCCAUUGGAUGUGAUAGGAUGAUAAUGGGUUCAAAUUGGUUAUGCAACCAAUGGGUGGAUUAUUUGAGAUUCCCUAGGUCAACGGGAUGUUUGAAGGUUUCAAUGAAUCCUAAAUUGAACCGCAC